AACGAACGCUGGCGGCAUGCCUAACACAUGCAAGUCGAACGAGACCUUCGGGUCUAGUGGCGCACGGGUGCGUAACGCGUGGGAACCUGCCCUUAGGUUCGGAAUAACUCCCCGAAAGGGGUGCUAAUACCGGAUAAUGUCUUCGGACCAAAGAUUUAUCGCCUUUGGAUGGGCCCGCGUUGGAUUAGCUAGUUGGUAGGGUAAAAGCCUACCAAGGCGACCAUCCAUAGCUGGUCUGAGAGGAUGAUCAGCCACACUGGGACUGAGACACGGCCCAGACUCCGAGGGGGGGAAGAGGGGGGGAAUAUUGAACAAGGGGCGAAGGCUUGCCCCAGCAAUGCCGGGGGGGGGAUGAAGGCUUAGGGGUGGAAAAGCUUUUUUCCCGGGGAGAAUAAGGAGAGUACGGGGAAAAUAAGCCCCGACAAACCCGGGC
rnacentral:rRNA from 1 species